GUCUAUGGUCAUGCUAUCUUGAACAAGCCCGAUCUCGUCUGAUCUCGGAAGCUAAGCAGGGUCGGGUGUGGUUAGUACUUGGAUGGGAGGCCGCCUGAAAAGACCAGGUACUGUAGGCA
rnacentral:rRNA from 1 species